GAUGAACGCUGGCGGCGUGCCUAAUACAUGCAAGUCGAGCGAACAGACGAGGAGCUUGCUCCUCUGACGUUAGCGGCGGACGGGUGAGUAACACGUGGAUAACCUACCUAUAAGACUGGGAUAACUUCGGGAAACCGGAGCUAAUACCGGAUAAUAUAUUGAACCGCAUGGUUCAAUAGUGAAAGACGGUUUUGCUGUCACUUAUAGAUGGAUCCGCGCCGCAUUAGCUAGUUGGUAAGGUAACGGCUUACCAAGGCAACGAUGCGUAGCCGACCUGAGAGGGUGAGCGGCCGCACUGGACCUGAGACACGGUCCAGACUCCUACGGGAGGCCGCAGUAGGGAAUCUUCCGCAAUGGGCGAAAGCCUGACGGAGCAACGCCGCGUGAGUGAUGAAGGGCUUCGGAUCGUAAAACUCUGUUAUUAGGGAAGAACAAAUGUGUAAGUAACUAUGCACGUCUUGACGGUACCUAAUCAGAAAGCCACGGCUAACUACGUG
rnacentral:rRNA from 1 species